UGUCUAAGUACAAGCCCUUGUGGAAAGCGAAACUGCGAAUGGCUCAUUAAAUCAGUCACGGUUCACGGGAUCGUACACGGUUACUUGGAUAACUGUGGUAAUUCUAGAGCUAAUACAUGCGGCGAACAGCGCGGACCCGCGCCGGCGUCCGGCUCCGGCCGGCGUCGGCCGUCGGGGACGCGUGCUUUUAUUAGGAACAAGACCAGCCCGGGACCGCGCGGGCGUCUCGCGACGGCCGCGCGCCCGGACCUCCUGGCGAACUCUGGAUAACGUGGCGGAUCGCACGGCCCCGCGCCGGCGACGCGUCCCUCGAGUGUCUGCCCUAUCAACUGUCGACGGUACGUUACGCGCCUACCGUGGUGGUGACGGGUGACGGGGAAUCAGGGUUCGAUUCCGGAGAGGGAGCCUGAGAGACGGCUACCACAUCCAAGGAAGGCAGCAGGCGCGCAAAUUACCCAUUCCCGACACGGGGAGGUAGUGACGAAAAAUAACGAUGCGGGACUCUUUCGAGGCCCCGCAAUCGGAAUGAGCACAGCCUAAAUCCUUUAACGAGGACCGAUUGGAGGGCAAGUCUGGUGCCAGCAGCCGCGGUAAUUCCAGCUCCAAUAGCGUAUAUUAAAGCUGUUGCAGUUAAAAAGCUCGUAGUUGGAUCUCGGGCCCGGGCCGGCGGUCCGCCGCGAGGCGAGUCACUGCCCGUCCCGGCCUCUCCUCCGCGCCCCGCCUGGUGCUCUUGGCUGAGUGUCUGGCCCGGGGCCGGAACGUUUACUUUGAAGAAAACGGAGUGUUCAAAGCAGGCCGCCAGCGCCCGCACGCUCGAGCACGGAAUAAUGGAACAGGACCUCGGUUCUGUUGCGUUGGUUUUCGGAACGCGAGGUGAUGAUUGAGAGGGACUGACGGGGGCAUUCGUAUUGCGGCGCUAGAGGUGAAAUUCUUGGAUCGCCGCAAGACGGACCGCUGCGAAAGCGUUUGCCAAGAAUGUUUUCAUUAAUCAAGAACGAAAGUUAGAGGUUCGAAGACGAUCAGAUACCGUCCUAGUUCUAACCGUAAACUAUGCCGACUGGCGAUGCGCCGGCGUUACUCUCACGACCCGGCGGGCAGCCCCCGGGAAACCUUUAAGUCUUUGGGUUCCGGGGGAAGUAUGGUUGCAAAGCUGAAACUUAAAGGAAUUGACGGAAGGGCACCACCAGGAGUGGAGCCUGCGGCUUAAUUUGACUCAACACGGGGAAACUCACCCGGCCCGGACACGGCGAGGAUUGACAGAUCGAGAGCUCUUUCUUGAUUCCGUGGGUGGUGGUGCAUGGCCGUUCUUAGUUGGUGGAGCGAUUUGUCUGGUUAAUUCCGAUAACGAACGAGACUCUGGCUUGCUAAAUAGUCGCGCGACCCUCGCCGGUCGGCGCCCGACUUCUUAGAGGGACAAGCGGCGUCCAGCCGCGCGAGAUGGAGCAAUAACAGGUCUGUGAUGCCCUUAGAUGUCCGGGGCCGCACGCGCGCUACACUGAAGGGAUCAACGUGUUCCCUGUUCUCGGCCGUCAGGUCCGGGCAAUCCUGGGAACCCCCUUCGUGCUUGGGACAGGGGAUUGCAACUGUUCCCCUCGAACGAGGAAUUCCCAGUAAGCGCGAGUCAUCAGCUCGCGUUGAUUACGUCCCUGCCCUUUGUACACACCGCCCGUCGCUACUACCGAUCGAACGGUUUAGUGAGGUCCUCGGAUCGGCCGCGUCGGCCGCCGCCCGUCGGCGUGCCGUUCGCGUCGCCGAGAAGACGAUCGAACUUGAUCGUUUAGAGGAAGUAAAAGUCGUAACAAGGUUUCC
rnacentral:rRNA from 1 species